GAAGCGAGUUCAUUGACUCAGGGGGAGUGGGGAGGGGUCCUCCCGGCAAGACGAGUCAUAGGAACGUAGUGGGAAGGGACCCCCCCCCCUCCACCCCGACUGGGUCACGGAGCCCCGUGUCCCUCAGCCUUUUCCCGAACAUACCCUUAUUUCCUUCCUGCUGUUAGGGAGAUAAUUUAUUACGGUCAGAGACCAGCUUAUAAAACACACUUGGGGGUACAAUCCCAGAAGGAAAACAAACAUUUAAAACAAUGUACAACAAUAAAUUUAAAAUGUAUAAAUGCAAUAAGCAUAUAGACACUUAAAACUUAAGAUAAGCUACGGCAGAGAGCUGACCCAGAGUCACCCAUGGAACCGAGUUUGGGGGUUUUUCUUAACAAACUAGUUUGGGUCGGGGGAUGGUCUGCGCCUACAGGUCUGUACACAGAAUCUUAUGAUCUUUGCCUAAGGGGAAAAGGUCAAAUUUUUGCUUUUCUGGGAGGUCAGCGAGCCUCACCAGCAGGGGAUCAAUGGUCUCACUACGGGCCUCUUCAUAAAAGGGACAUCUAAAGAACAAGUGCUCUGGGCUUCCUAUAUCCCCCAAUGAACAGGCGAAAAGUCUCUGAGCAUGUGGGACUGCUGCUGUUCAUAAAUGUACAAGGCAAACACACAUGCAUAAGUAUAGUGUCUGAAACAGUACGGGAAAGCAAUCCUGAAGCUGUUUUGACUCUCCCAAAUUGACCUCAAAUAUUUCUCUGCAAGGAGGGAGGAAAUGGGAAAAGCUUUCCAGUUGUCUUUGGACUGCAGGGGCUUAAACCUUCCUUUGCAAAUACAACCUGGCAAGUAUCUGUUAAGCUGAGCAAACUACCAAUAUAUGUAAGAGAUUCAUUAUUAAUAAAUUAUUAUUACAGGGAACCAGGCAGAAGAGAAGACUUCCUGGAAAAGACCCUGAUGCUGGGAAAGAUGGAGGGCACAAGGAGAAGGGGAUGACAGAGGACGAGAUGGUUGGAUAGUGUUCUCGAAGCUACCAGCAUGAGUUUGGCCAAACUGCGGGAGGCAGUGGAAGACAGAAGUGCCUGGCGUGCUCUGGUCCAUGGGGUCACGAAGAGUCGGAGACGACUAAACAACAACAACAAGGCAGAGGGCCUUCUCGGUGGUGGCACCCGCCCUGUGGAAUGCCCUCCCAGCAGCAAAGCAGCUAGUAAGCCUGAUCUUUAUUAAACUGUUGCAACAGGGUCCCCCACUCCCCCCACACAGGGAGGGAGGAGAGGAACCCAGAACAAAGGUGUGCAAGCCCCUAUGUAGACCAGGGGUCAGCAAACUUUUUCAGCAGGGGGCCAGUCCACCGUCCCUCAGACCUUGUGGGGGACCGGACUAUGUUUUGAAAAAAAUAAAUGAACGAAUUCCUAUACCCCACAAAUAACCCCGAGAUGCAUGUUAAAUAAAAGGACACAUUCUACUCAUGUAAAAAUACGCUGGUUCCCAGACCGUCCGAGGGCCGGAUUUAGAAGGUGAUUGGGCUGGAUCCUGCCCCCGGGCCUUAGUUUGCCUACCCAUGAUAUAGACUUUUAAAGCUGCCCACCCUGUAGCUCAAGACCGCCACCCCCCCAAAAAAAUCAUACAUACAUCACAGGGCGGCAGUCUACAGCAGAAAAUCUGUCAGGAUACUUCAUAAUGGUCAAUCAUUGCUCAACCUGGUAAAUGGUAAAUACUUUAGUUCCUGAAUAAUAAUAAUAAUAAUAAUAAUAAUAAUAAUUUAUUAUUUAUACCCUGCCCAUCUGGCUGGGUUUCCCCAGCCACUUUGGGCGGCUUCCAACAAAAUAUUAAAAUACAACAAUCUGUUAAACAGGCCCUUCCAUCAGAUGUCAAGGCAAUAAUCAACUACCUUACUUUUAAAAGACAUGUGAAGGCAGCCCUGUUUAAUGUUUAAUGUGGUAUUGUGUUUUUAAUAUUCGGUUAGGAGCCGCCCAGAGUGGCUGAGGAAACCCAGCCAGAUGGGCGGGGUAUAAAUAAAUAAUAAUAAUAAUUAUUACCAAAUGCAAGGUGGUUCUUUUAAUGAGAUUCAGAAGCAAUACAAACACAAGUGAGUGAGAAGAUUAAAGAUUUUAUUCUAAACAGCAAGCAUUAUAUACCUUACCAAGCAAGCUCUUCGGUAUGCCACUGGGGAGCCCUCAAAAAGUGGCGAAGUGACCUCCCCAGGUGGUCUCAGGUUGCACAAGCUUCCGGCCAUGAGUUCGUCCACAAGCUUCCUCAAAACCAUCUGAUUUACAGAUUACAGUGGUACCUCUGGUGAAGAACUUAAUUCGUUCCGGAGGUCCGUUCUUAACCUGAAACUGUUCUUAACCUGAAGCACCACUUUAGCUAAUGGGGCCUCCCGCUGUUGCCACGCUGCCGGAGCACAGUUUCUGUUCUCAUCCUGAAGCAAAGUUCUUAACCUGAGGUACUAUUUAUGGGUUACUGGAGUCUGUAACCUAAAGCGUAUGUAACCCAAGGUACCACUGUAUUGAUAGCUAGCCUAUAUGGUUUGCCCAACUGCCUACGGCAGAUUAUUCACCAGCCAGCCCUCUCUGCACAUCCCUCCAAACAAUGUCUAACAUCAGAGAAGGUCAGAAGGUACCCUGCAUUAUCACUUCUUCCUUCCACCAGAUUAUACAUUAAAGCAGGGGUCAGCAACCUUUUUCAGCAGGGGGCCGGUUCCACCGUCUCUCAGACCUUGUGGUGGGCCGAACUAUAUUUUGGAAAAAAAUAUGAACGAAUUCCUAUGCCCCACAAAUAACCCAGAGAUGCAUUUUAAAUAAAAGGACACAUUCUACUCAUGGAAAAGCACGCUGAUUCCUGGACCGUCCGCGGGCCAGAUUUAGAAGGCGACUGGGCCAGAUCUGGCCCCCGGGCCUUAGGUUGCCUACCCCUGCAUUAAAGGCUGCUCUCAGCCAUCAAAGAACUUUAUGAAGAGAUAGAGAAGGAAAGUAAACAGAAGCAGGAAGAGAAGACUAAGUUAGAUCACUUAUCUCCUUGAAGUACAAAUGUUUUCCGGAAAAGGUUGCCCAUUAAUCCCCCUCUUUUUUGGGGGUGACCCUAAGAGUCACCUAGUCCAACCAUCUGGCAUUGCAGGAAUCAGAGCUAAAUAAUCCCGGGCACAUGGCCACACAACCCCAGUUUAAAAACAUCCUUCCAAGGUAGUCCUUUCCACAUUGAACCAAUGGAUUCAAAUUACCAGACAGCAGGGUGGAUUUGAUUUCAAUCAUCUUUUUACAGAAAGACUCAUUUUUGCUGGUAAUAAUCUUAAUAUUUACAACCAGAUGCAGGUUUCGUUUUCGGAAUAAUAAAUUUUCAGAGUACUUUUUACAGCUAUAUCAAAAAUUACUGAUUUGUUUAUACUAUUAGAAACACCUAGAUAAUUAUGAGAUUAUUGUGAGGUUUAAUAAGAUAACUGUUUAUAUUUGGACAACUUUCCUGCUGUACUUUAUUGGAAGUCAUUCCCGUAAUAACUUAGACUGAUUUUUAGCACACAUGAAAAACUUAAAACAAAUCCUUAUUUCCUGAUGAAUAGCCUUUGGACUAUAAUGUAACUGAAAUAGAAAACUAUCUUUAGAAAGAUUUUUUUUAUCCAAAAGCAUUUUAUUUUAAAAAUCCAAUUUAAAUUUUAAAAAAUCUGAUUUUAAUUUUUUUAAAAAAACUGAUUUAAAUAAAAAAAACUGCUUUUUUUUAUUUUUUAAAAAAAUCAUUGAUUUUUAUCCACCCUGCUGGAAAGGAGAUUCCGAGUAAACAUUAGGAAUAACUUUCUGAUGGCAAGAGUCAUUCAACAGGGGAAUAAGCUCCCUUGGCUGCCCUUCAUUGAAGGUUUUUAAAUGGAUGUUGGGAAUCUGCCAGGGAAUCUUCAGUUGUGAUUCCUGCAUUGCAGAGGUUUGGACUAUAUGGCCUUAGGGGUCCCUUCCAAUCCUUCAGUAACUGCAAUCAUGAUAAUAAUAAUUGCUUUCAACUCCUUGGGCCCAUGGAAACAGCAGAUCCAGGCAGGAUGCCAUAGACUAUGGGGACAAGUUCAAUACUGCCCCAGGCCUGGAGGGGGGAGAGGGCCGUCUCCAUAGGCUGACCUAUCGCCAAAUGACUGAUAUUUGUGGAAUACAUUUAUCUACAUUGUAAUAUUGCAAACAGGUCUGCUUAACAUUUAACUUGGAAGGUACUGGUUCAAUAAAGCCCAAAAGGAAGGUUUGGACAAUUAAUGAUUGGGAGUUGCUGCGCCAUUAAACUUCAGAUAACAGAUUUGGACAACAUCCCGGAUCGGAACGGUGUCGGAGGAAGCUGCGCUGAUAAAAAGACAGUCGGAAAAAUAUAUACUAACAAAGCUGUAUUUGACGGAUGAAAGUACAUGAUGUUUGACACGACUGAGAAUAAAACUCAGGGACGGGAAUUAUAAAACGUCAAAACCGAUGUGUGGAAAAUAUGGAAUGAUGAGGAGAGGCAGGACUGAGAUGUGGAGAUAUGCUUCAGAGAUCCAGACUGUGGGGAGCCCCGAAGAAUUAAUAAUUAUAAUUUGGAUUUUAAUUUGUUUUUUUUUAUUUUAGUUUUUUUUAAUUUUAAUAGGAGUAUUGUGAUUGGAUAUAUUAAUUGGAUGUUUUUUAUUGGAAAAUCAAUAAAAAUGAUUUUAAAAAGACUGCCCCAGGCGAAACCGGCAGUCGAAAAUUCUUCCUGCCACGUAGGGGAGUUUGAGGCACAGGCUUCC